rnacentral:rRNA from 1 species
CCUACGGGAGGCAGCAGUGGGGAAUAUUGCACAAUGGGCGAAAGCCUGAUGCAGCGACGCCGCGUGAGGGACGACGGCCUUCGGGUUGUAAACCUCUUUCAGCAGGGACGAAGCGCAAGUGACGGUACCUGCAGAAGAAGCACCGGCUAACUACGUGCCAGCAGCCGCGGUAAUACGUAGGGUGCAAGCGUUGUCCGGAAUUACUGGGCGUAAAGAGUUCGUAGGCGGUUUGUCACGUCGUUUGUGAAAACUCACAGCUCAACUGUGAGCCUGCAGGCGAUACGGGCAGACUUGAGUACUGCAGGGGAGACUGGAAUUCCUGGUGUAGCGGUGAAAUGCGCAGAUAUCAGGAGGAACACCGGUGGCGAAGGCGGGUCUCUGGGCAGUAACUGACGCUGAGGAACGAAAGCGUGGGUAGCAAACAGGAUUAGAUACCCUGGUAGUCCACGCCGUAAACGGUGGGCGCUAGGUGUGGGUUCCUUCCACGGAAUCCGUGCCGUAGCUAACGCAUUAAGCGCCCCGCCUGGGGAGUACGGCCGCAAGGCUAAAACGUCAAAGGAAUUGACGG